AACAGGAUUAGAUACCCUGGUAGUCCACGCUGUAAACGAUGUCGACUUGGAGGUUGUUCCCUUGAGGAGUGGCUUCCGGAGCUAACGCGUUAAGUCGACCGCCUGGGGAGUACGGCCGCAAGGUUAAAACUCAAAUGAAUUGACGGGGGCCCGCACAAGCGGUGGAGCAUGUGGUUUAAUUCGAUGCAACGCGAAGAACCUUACCUACUCUUGACAUCCAGAGAACUUAGCAGAGAUGCUUUGGUGCCUUCGGGAACUCUGAGACAGGUGCCGCAUGGCUGUCGUCAGCUCGUGUUGUGAAAUGUUGGGUUAAGUCCCGCAACGAGCGCAACCCUUAUCCUUUGUUGCCAGCGGUUCGGCCGGGAACUCAAAGGAGACUGCCAGUGAUAAACUGGAGGAAGGUGGGGAUGACGUCAAGUCAUCAUGGCCCUUACGAGUAGGGCUACACACGUGCUACAAUGGCAUAUACAAAGAGAAGCGACCUCGCGAGAGCAAGCGGACCUCAUAAAGUAUGUCGUAGUCCGGAUCGGAGUCUGCAACUCGACUCCGUGAAGUCGGAAUCGCUAGUAAUCGUGGAUCAGAAUGCCACGGUGAAUACGUUCCCGGGCCUUGUACACACCGCCCGUCACACCAUGGGAGUGGGUUGCAAAAGAAGUAGGUAGCUUAACCUUCGGGAGGGCGCUUACCACUUUGUGAUUCAUGACUGGGGUGAAGUCGUAACAAGGUAACC
rnacentral:rRNA from 1 species